rnacentral:tRNA from 1 species
GCGCCCGUAGCUCAGUUGGAUAGAGCGUCGGCCUCCGGAGCCGAAGGUCGUGAGUUCGAGUCUCGCCGGGCGCGCCA